rnacentral:rRNA from 1 species
CGAUAUCAAUAAGCGGAGGAAAAGAAAAUAACAAUGAUUCCUUCAGUAACUGCGAGUGAAGAAGGAAGAGCUCAAAUUUUAAAUCCGUUAGGUUUUACCUGACCGAGUUGUAAUUUGAAGAGGCGUUUUCUGAGGUUCUGAUCAGUCCAAGUCCUUUGGGAUAAGGCAUCACGGAGGGUGAGAAUCCCGUUCGGUUGAUCAGAUCUUCUUUACGAUACGUCAUCAAAGAGUCAAGUUGUUUGGGAAUGCAGCUUAAAAUGGGAGGUAAAUUUCUCCUAAGGCUAAAUAACGGCGAGAGACCGAUAGCGAACAAGUACCGUGAGGGAAAGAUGAAAAGAACUUUGAAAAGAGAGUUAAAUAGUACGUGAAAUUGUUGAAAGGGAAACGAUUGAAGCCAGUCGUACCGGCGGGUAAUCAGCCUUUUGGGUGUGAUUAUGUGGAGCGUGAGGAGCUAAUCGCCUUCAUCUUUGCAUAUUCGUGCACUUUGGGUGUACUUGCUCGUGUGGUAGGUUAACAUCAAUUUUGAUUAUCAUAAAAUGAUUGAAGGAAUGUAGCUUCGAUCUCGUAUUGAAGUGUUAUAGCCUUUGGUAGAUGUGAUGAUCGGGAUUGAGGAUUGCAACGGAUACCCUUCGGGGCUACCUGUCUGAUCUCUGCAAGUUGCUCUGGUGCUGAAAGCUUGCUUAUGGUAUCAAAGUUGACGUUCAAUAGGUUAGAACGGGAUAAAUUCGUUAAGGAUGUUGACGUA